CAGGCCUAACACAUGCAAGUCGAACGCGAAAGUUUCUUCGGAAACGAGUAGAGUGGCGCACGGGUGAGUAACGCGUGGAUUAUCUACCUACUGGUACGGGACAACAGUUGGAAACGACUGCUAAUACCGUAUACGCUGGUAACGGGAAAGGGGGCCUCUUCUUGAAAGCUCUCGCCAGUAGAUGAGUCCGCGUUUCAUUAGCUAGACGGUGGGGUAACGGCCUACCGUGGCAACGAUGAAUAGCAGGCCUGAGAGGGUGGCCUGCCACACUGGGACUGGAACACGGCCCAGACUCCUACGGGAGGCAGCAGUGGGGAAUAUUGCGCAAUGGACGAAAGUCUGACGCAGCGACGCCGCGUGGAGGAUGAAGGUUUUCGGAUCGUAAACUCCUGUCAAGAGGGAAGAAACCUGUUGAGAAUAAUACUCUCAGCAAUUGACGGUACCUCUAGAGGAAGCACCGGCUAAUUCAGUGCCAGCAGCCGCGGUAAUACUGAAGGUGCAAGCGUUAAUCGGAAUCACUGGGCGUAAAGCGCUCGUAGGUGGCUUUGUAAGUCAGGUGUGAAAGCCCACGGCUCAACCGUGGAAUUGCACUUGAUACUGCAUCGCUAGAGUAUAGGAGAGGGAAGUG
rnacentral:rRNA from 1 species